rnacentral:rRNA from 1 species
GAACCGGGAGGUUUGCUGGAGGUAUCAGAAGUGCGAAUGCUGACAUGAGUAACGAUAAGGGGGGUGAAAAACCUCCCCGCCGGAAGAUCAAGGUUUCCUGUCCAACGCUAAUCGGGACAGGGUGAGUCGGCCCCUAAGGCGAGGCAGAAAUGCGUAGUCGAUGGAAAGCGGAUUAAUAUUCCCGCACUUGUUUAUAUUGCGAUGGAGGGACGGAGUAGGCUAGGUCAUCAGGGCGUUGGUUGUCCCUGUUUAAGGCUGUAGGCAGACUGCUUAGGUAAAUCCGGGUGGUCCCCUUUUAGUAGGGAAUGCUGAGAGCUGAUGACGAGCUUUAGUGCGAGCUAAAGUGAAGUGAUCGAUGCCAUGCUUCCAAGAAAAGCUUCUAAGCUUCAGAUAUAAACGAACCGUACUGUAAACCGACACAGGUGAUCAGGUAGAGAAUACCAAGGCGCUUGAGAGAACUCGGGUGAAGGAACUAGGCAAAAUGGUACCGUAACUUCGGGAGAAGGUACGCUCUUUUUGGUGAUCGGACUUGCUCCGUAAGCUGAGGAGAGUCGAAGUGACCAGGUGGCUGCGACUGUUUAUUAAAAACAUAGCACUGUGCAAACACGUAAGUGGACGUAUACGGUGUGACGCCUGCCCGGUGCCGGAAGGUUAAUUGAUGGGGUUAUCUUCGGAGAAGCUCUUGAUCGAAGCCCCGGUAAACGGCGGCCGUAACUAUAACGGUCCUAAGGUAGCGAAAUUCCUUGUCGGGUAAGUUCCGACCUGCACGAAUGGCGUAACGAUGGCCACACUGUCUCCACCCGAGACUCAGUGAAAUUGAAAUUGCGGUUAAGAUGCCGUAUACCCGCGGCUAGACGGAAAGACCCCGUGAACCUUUACUAUAGCUUCACAGUGGACUCUGACUUUACUUGUGUAGGAUAGCUGGGAGGCUUUGAAGUGGUGGCGCUAGCUAUCAUGGAGCCAACCUUGAAAUACCAGCCUGGUAACGUUGGGGUUCUAACUCAGGUCCAUUAUCUGGAUCGAGGACAUUGUGUGGUGGGUAGUUUGACUGGGGCGGUCUCCUCCCAAAGAGUAACGGAGGAGCACGAAGGUGCGCUAAUCAUGGUCGGAAAUCAUGAGGUUAGUGUAAAGGCACAAGCGCGCUUGACUGCGAGUCUGACAAGACGAGCAGGUACGAAAGUAGGUCUUAGUGAUCCGGUGGUUCUGAAUGGAAGGGCCAUCGCUCAACGGAUAAAAGGUACUCCGGGGAUAACAGGCUGAUACCGCCCAAGAGUUCACAUCGACGGCGGUGUUUGGCACCUCGAUGUCGGCUCAUCACAUCCUGGGGCUGAAGCCGGUCCCAAGGGUAUGGCUGUUCGCCAUUUAAAGUGGUACGCGAGCUGGGUUUAGAACGUCGUGAGACAGUUCGGUCCCUAUCUGCCGUGGGCGUUGGAGAAUUGAGGGAAGCUGCUUCUAGUACGAGAGGACCGAAGUGGACGAACCCCUGGUGUUCGGGUUGUGUCGCCAGACGCAUUGCCCGGUAGCUACGUUCGGACAGGAUAACCGCUGAAAGCAUCUAAGCGGGAAGCCCCUCCCAAGACUAGUUCUCCCUGGGAAUUUAAUUCCCCUGAAGGGCCGUCCAAGACUAGGACGUUGAUAGGCUGGGUGUGUAAGCGUUGUGAGGCGUUGAGCUAACCAGUACUAAUUGCCCGUGAGGCUUGACCAU